UACGUAGGGAGCAAGCGUUGUCCGGAUUUAUUGGGCGUAAAGAGCUCGUAGGCGGCUUAGAAAGUCAGGUGUGAAACCUCCAGGCUCAACCUGGAGUCGCCACUUGAUACUUCUAUGGCUUGAGUUCGGUAGGGGAUCGCGGAAUUCCUGGUGUAGCGGUGAAAUGCGCAGAUAUCAGGAGGAACACCGAUGGCGAAGGCAGUGAUCUGGGCCGAUACUGACGCUGAGGAGCGAAAGCGUGGGGAGCGAACAGG
rnacentral:rRNA from 1 species